rnacentral:misc_RNA from 1 species
UGGCAGGAUCAACCAGGUAGCAAUCCAUGUCGACUUUGGCAUUGCAUCGACGAAUCGAAAACAACACCAAAUGUCGUUCGCAUACGAUAGCGUGUGACGCUAUUUUAUGGGGCAAAAUAGAGACCGUCGAUGCCUCGUACCCAACCCACGAGGUACUCCAUGACAUAGAGAACGAGCACCGUGCCAUUGAUCCAAUGGCCCAACAACUUUAUUUAACCCACGGGCGUUGGAGCAUGACAUUGUGCUUCGAAGUUCACCUCGUACCACGAACCCAAGGGCUCGCAGCAAAAGGCGAAAGGGUCCAUUAAUCCGAUGAAUUCCCGCACUUUGGGUACAAAACACAAGAAACCGAGCUUGGCCAAGAUGUUUUUCCUGCUCUUGAACCAAUUACUGAAGAGGCAUGCCGGAUACAUUUUCGU